rnacentral:rRNA from 1 species
UACGUAGGGUGCGAGCGUUAAUCGGAAUUACUGGGCGUAAAGGGUGCGUAGGUGGCGCUGUAAGUCGGGUGUGAAAUUUCGGAGCUUAACUCCGAAACUGCAUUCGAUACUGCGGUGCUUGAGGACUGGAGAGGAGACUGGAAUUCAUGGUGUAGCAGUGAAAUGCGUAGAGAUCAUGAGGAAGACCAGUGGCGAAGGCGGGUCUCUGGACAGACACUGACACUGAGGCACGAAGGCGUGGGGAGCAAACGGG